rnacentral:misc_RNA from 1 species
CACGAAGAUCCCGGCGCCGAUGACGGCGCCGACGCCGAACCACACCAGGUCCCACCACGUGAGGUCCCGCUUCAUGUCGGCGCCGCUGCGGGCGCGCACCUCGUGCAGCUCCGUCGACUCCAGCGACCGCGACGUGAGGCGGUCGGCCAGCCGGGGCCCCGUGCUGCGCAGCGCCCGCCCGUACGCCGACCAGCUCGAGAACGACUCCUCCGGGAAGAAGUCCGCCUUGGUGCACGAACACCCGCGCUGGCGCUGACGCACCCCGCCGCCGCCGCCGUUGGCAUCGCCCCCGACCGCCAUGGCUGUCUGUGUGUGCGUGCAGUGUGUCUCUGCCGGCUUCUUGUUGGCUUGCUUCCUGUUGUGUGUUUAUAUAGGAGUCCAAAGGGAGAGGAUAAAAUGGAAC